rnacentral:lncRNA from 7 species
ACAUCUUUGCAGUAUCACCGCCAGAGCUAGCCUCAUUUAUCAUGGCAUCCUUCAUCAGCUGUCCGUCAAUCUAUUCUGUGGCUACAUGUGGUAAAGCCAUGGAUGAUCUUCGAUCGCAGGGUGGUCAUGCCUGAAAGCCUACAGCGCAGAGGGCAACCUAGCAUCUUUGGCAGAGUCUUGUAUGUCUCCUUCAAUUGAUUAUGGGUAUACUACAGCUUGUCCUGAACUCAUGUACUGUUGUCAACUUCUAUAUUACUAAAGAGUAAUGAACUGAUUAUCACUUCUUUGAAACUCAUUAUAUUGU